AUUAAAACUUUUAAACGGUAAUUACAAAAGAUUGUCUGCAAAAUAUAAAAAGGUUUCUUAUCCCAAACUCAGCUCGCGCUUGGUAUGGUACCUCUCAAGAUGUCGUCUCCGCUUCAAUGUCCGUCCAAGCUUCUCUUCCCUCUCCACCAUCCUUACUCCAAACCUGUUCUCUCCUAUCCAACUCCACGACUUCUCUAUCCUCGUCGCCAAACAUUCCGAAUCUUCUGCGCUAAGAGAACCGGCAAGCAGAGAUACCCUUCCGAGAAGAAGAAAAUGAAAUUGAAGCAAAAAGAUGCUCUAUCUUCUGUCACGAACAAGUUCGAAGGGAUCUGGAGGCUCUCCAAUCUCGCAGUUUCGGUCCAAAACGACCCCGGAAAGGAUUUUCUCCAAGUUCAUAAUGGCUUGCUCCAAGAAAUCGCUAAAGUCCUCAAGUUUCCAGUUGCUUCCAUGUUGCCAGAAGAAGCUUUCUCGGUGGUUCGGAAAUCUUUUGAUGCAAGAAAGAAACUGAAGGAGGCCAAGUUUGUAUAUACUGUGGAUAUGGAUGUCAGUAAGCUGCUAAGUCUAGAACCUCGUACAUGGGACUUCAUAUCUCGGUUGGAGCCAAAAGUUGGGCUUAUAGAACAUAUGCCUCGUGAAAGAUUUGCUCGUGAUUUGAUGAGUAUAGUACAUGAUUUUAAAGAUAGCAAUGGUGGUAUAUCGUCAAGAGAACAAGAACGUAACAUUCACUCUGGUGAAUCACACAAGUGUUCCACAGCUAGAAAACCAAAAAUUGCAGUUGUGGGUGGUGGCCCAUCUGGCUUGUUUGCUUCUCUGGUUCUUGCAGAAUUUGGUGCUGAUGUUACUUUGAUUGAAAGAGGUCAAGCGGUUGAGAGGAGGGGGCGUGACAUUGGCGCUUUAGUUGUUCGCCGGAUUUUAGAAUCAGAAAGCAAUUUUUGCUUUGGGGAGGGUGGUGCAGGUACCUGGAGUGAUGGAAAACUGGUAACUAGAAUUGGAAGGAACAGUGGCUGUGUUUUAGCAAUCAUGAACACCUUGGUUCACUUUGGUGCUCCAAAAGAUAUUUUGGUUGAUGGUAAGCCUCAUUUGGGAACAGAUAGGCUAGUUCCUUUACUCCGUAACUUCCGGCAACAUCUUCAAUCACUGGGUGUGGAUAUCAAGUUUGGAACGAGGGUAGAUGAUCUGAUUAUAGAGGAUGGACAUAUUGUGGGUGUGCAAGUCUCUGAUUCAACAAAUAAAUUGCAGUUAGAUUGCAAGAAGUUGGGAUUUGAUGCAGUUAUUCUGGCUGUUGGACAUUCUGCACGUGAUACAUAUCAAAUGCUUCUUUCUCAUAAUGUGGAUUUGGUCCCAAAAGAUUUUGCUGUUGGUUUGCGAGUAGAGCAUCCUCAGGAACUAAUCAACAGCAUACAGUAUUCUGGAUUAGCCAACGAAGUUUGCAGUGGACGUGGGAAAGUACCAGUGGCAGAUUAUAAGGUUGUGCAGUAUGUUAGUGAUAAGGAUGAAGAUUCACCUUUCAAGUUGGAGUCUACAAGUCGUAGUUGUUAUUCUUUCUGCAUGUGCCCUGGUGGGCAGGUUGUUCUCACUAGCACAAACCCAUCGGAGGUCUGUAUUAAUGGGAUGUCAUUUUCUCGCCGUGCAUCUAGGUGGGCAAACGCUGCCCUUGUUGUGACUGUUUCAACAAAAGAUUUUGAUGCAUUGAAUUUCCAUGGACCUCUUGCUGGGGUUGAAUUUCAGAGGGAAUUUGAGCGAAAAGCAGCUAUAAUGGGAGGGGGAAAUUUUGUGGUGCCUGUGCAGACAGUUACUGAUUUUAUGGAAAAUAAAGUAUCAGUAACAUCUAUGCCACCAUCGAGCUACCGGCUAGGAGUGAAGGCAGCAAGUCUCCAUGAAUUGUUCCCUGUAUACAUGACAGAUGCUUUAUGCUAUUCUAUCUCAAUGUUUGAUAAAGAGCUACCUGGAUUUAUCUCCAAGGAGGCUCUUCUUCACGGAGUAGAGACUAGAACUAGUUCUCCCAUUCAGAUUCCGCGCGAUGGUGACACUUGUGAGAGCAUAUCUUUAAGAGGGCUCUACCCGGUUGGUGAAGGAGCAGGUUACGCUGGUGGGAUUGUAAGCGCAGCAGUCGAUGGCAUGUACAGUGGUUUCUCUGUGGCAAAAAAAUUUGAUUUGUUUCAUGGUGACAUAGAGUCGGUUUUAGGAAAGGCUCAGAGUGCUGGAUUGGUGAAGUACUAGAAGGGUUUUGGUUCCACUUAUUUUAUAAGCAAUUCACUUCACAUGAGUACUUACUCCAUUAUCAUUUAGAGCUCUACAAAAUCGAGGAUGAUGAUGGGGGGACUUCAAAUGCAACUCCAAAUUUAUUUCAGAAACUGUUAACUAGAUGAAAGGAUAAGAUUGCCAUGCUUUGUUACCUUGUUGAUCGUGAGCCUGUUCAAAACUGGUGUUUUUUCUGGGCACUCUCGUUAAACUGAACCUCAAGGGCAGCCAUGGAAGAGCAAACAGAAGUCUAUAGCGGCUAAACUAACCCAACAUACUCUUUGUUUUCUAACUUGUUAAUUAGAGGUAAUUGAUGGAAGAAAAAAAUAAAAGGAAAUUCACAAUCAUGCAGCCAUUUAUGAGACAUCUAAAGGAAGAGCAGAGCUGUGUUGCGGAAUUAGUUUGAAUUCUGGCAUUUUAAUCAUGGAAUUGUUUUUUCGGUUUUAUUUAGUAUGAAGGCAAAUUUUAAGGUCUUUGGGGUUAGUAUCCUGAAAUGAAAAAGCAUACGAUGAUCCAAUAUCAGACUUCUAGUUUUAUAAGCUUUUGUACAAUUGUAGAGAAGAAAGUUUUUCGAUGGAGUUAUAUUUUCAUUUUUUAGAUAUCAUAUUCUAUCAAUCUUUAUUCAGCCCGCUAGUAGAGUAUCGGAUUAGUUCAUGUUGAUAGGAUUUUUAGUUUUAAUGAUUAAGAUGGAUUAGGAGUGUUGGUUGGAUUUUUAAUUUUUAUGCUAUAUUUGGAUGGAUACU